CCCUGCCAUUUGUACACACCGCCCGUCGCUCCUACCGAUUGAAUGGUCCGGUGAAAUCUUCGGAUUGCUGGCCUUGCCUUGGCAACUUGGCUUGGUUGCGAGAAGUUGAUUAAACCUUAUCAUUUAGA
rnacentral:rRNA from 1 species